rnacentral:rRNA from 1 species
UACGUAGGGGGCAAGCGUUGUCCGGAUUUAUUGGGCGUAAAGAGCGUGUAGGCGGCUUUACAGGUCCGUUGUGAAAACUCGAGGCUCAACCUCGAGACGCCGGUGGAAACCGUAAGGCUAGAGUCCGGAAGAGGAGAGUGGAAUUCCUGGUGUAGCGGUGAAAUGCGCAGAUAUCAGGAGGAACACCGGUGGCGAAGGCGGAUCUCUGGGCCAUAACUGACGCUGAGAAGCGAAAGCAUGGGGAGCGAACAGG